CCCUUAGAUGUUCUGGGCCGCACGCGCGCUACACUGACGAAGUCAGCGAGCAUGUCCUACGCCAACAGGUGCGGGGAAUCUUGUCAAACUUCGUCGUGAUGGGGAUUGAUUAUUGAAAUUCUUGAUCAUCAACGAGGAAUUCCUAGUAAGCGCAAGUCAGCAGCUUGCGUUGAUUACGUCCCUGCCCUUUGUACACACCGCCCGUCGCUACUACCGAUUGAAUGGUUUAGUGAGAUCUUCGGAUUGGCGCCACUGCGGCUCAGCAAUGGGCUCGGUGGAUGCCGAAAAGUUGAUCAAACUUGAUCAUUUAGAGGAAGUAAAAGUCGUAACA
rnacentral:rRNA from 1 species